UACGUAGGGUGCGAGCGUUGUCCGGAAUUAUUGGGCGUAAAGAGCUCGUAGGCGGUCCGUCGCGUCGGCUGUGAAAACCUGGGGCUCAACCCCGGGCCUGCAGCGGAUACGGGCGGACUAGAGUUCGGUAGGGGAGACUGGAAUUCCUGGUGUAGCGGUGAAAUGCGCAGAUAUCAGGAGGAACACCGGUGGCGAAGGCGGGUUCCUGGCCUACUACUGACGCUGUGGCGCGAAAGCUGGGGGGGCAAACGGG
rnacentral:rRNA from 1 species